GACGAACGCUGGCGGCGUGCUUAACACAUGCAAGUCGAACGGAAAGGCCCUGCUUUUGUGGGGUGCUCGAGUGGCGAACGGGUGAGUAACACGUGAGUAACCUGCCCUUGACUUUGGGAUAACUUCAGGAAACUGGGGCUAAUACCGGAUAGGAGCUCCUGUUGCAUGGUGGGGGUUGGAAAGUUUAGGCGGUUGGGGGUGGACUCGCGGCUUAUCAGCUUGUGGGUGGGGUAGUGGCUUACCAACGCUUUCAGGGGUAGCCGGCCUGGGAGGGUGACCGGCCAAAUUGGGCCUGGAAUAGGGCCCAGACCCCUACGGGGGGCAGCGGGGGGGAAUAUUGCACAAUGGGGGGAACCCGGAUGCAGCAACGCCGCGUGCGGGAUGACGGCCUUCGGGUUUUAAACCGCUUUCGCCUGUGACGAAGCGUGAGUGACGGUAAUGGGUAAAGAAGCACCGGCUAACUACGUG
rnacentral:rRNA from 1 species